AACCCAUGAUGUGGGCACCUCCUAAGUAGGUCCUUGAAUCGUUCAUGUGCCUCAAACAAUGUUUCAGACCCUUCUUACAUGAAUGAUGAGAUUUCCUAUCUAAUCUU